rnacentral:lncRNA from 1 species
UGGACUACUCAAGAAGUAAAGGUUUAUGAACAAUAAAAAUAUACUUAGAAUAAAAAGGAACACAGAUUUGGGGGAAUAUCUGCAACAAAUACGAUAGGAAAGGGUGCUCAUUAGAUUUUUAAGAAAAAAAAAAACAAACAACAGAAGACACUGAUGUAAGUUCAUGGAAAAAAACACUUGAACAGACAGUUGAUACAGCAAGGGCUACCAGCUAGUGAAUAAAACUGAUGGAGAACGGUCGAAAUGGGGCUUUGCAAAGAGGUACAAAUUAAGUGAUGGGACAGUAUCUUACACCUUUUGCAUUUGCAAAAAUUUAAGAAAAUAAAAAAUCUCUGUGUUGGGGAGAAAGUGGUAAAACGGAUGUAUUUGUAUGCUGCUUGUGGCUGCUGAAGUUAUUCUGAUUUAAAAAGCAAAUUUGAUAAAAUAAUCAAGAAUCAUCACAAUGUUUAUUCCCUCUGAUUUAAUAAUCAUCUCCCAAAAAUUCAUUUGAGGAAAAAAAAUCCAAAGGAAAAAUUGACCUCCUUCCACCAUUAAAUCUUUAAAUAUUAGGAGUUCCCAUCAUGGCUCCGUGGUUAAUGAACCAGACUAGCAUCCAUGGAUUCAAUCCCUGGUCUCACUCAGUGGAUUAAGGAUCUGGUGUUUCCGUGAGCUGUGGUGUAGGUUGCAGAUGUGGCUCGGAUCCUGGGUUGAAUCGGAGCUGUAGCCACCGGCAUACAACAGAGCCACAGCAACGCAGGAUCCGAGCCGCGUCUGCAACCUACACCACAGCUCACGGCAACGCCGGAUCGUUAACCCACUGAGCGAAGCCAGGGAUCGAACCCGCAACCUCAUGGUUCCUAGUCGGAUUCGCUAACCACUGCGCCACGACGGGAACUCCUCGUGUGAGGACAUCAAAGAAUACAUGUGGUACUUUGUGAGUUGAACUGAAUUCAUCCUUCCUCUUUACUUCUUUCCCUUCCUUCUUUCGAGCUAUAUUUUUUGAGCAUCUACCGUGUUUCUGUCAUUGUUCUAAUCAACAAAACAGACUAAAGUUCCUGCCUUCGUGGAGCUUUCUAUUCUUGUCCAGAUCUGUGUUUUUCUAGUUGUGCGUGUCCUCAACCAAAGCGCUCCUCCCUCUGGGACUGAGUGUGCCGUUCUGGGUACACUAAGGGUUUCACAAACGUUUCCAUUUCUCCUAUUGCUUUUUCUUUAGCCAUCCUCUCCACCUUAGUUGUUUUCUUGGUCACGUCACAUGUUCCUACCAUUCAAAACCUUGAGUAGUGGAAGAACAAAAACAAGGAUGUCCUUUUAAUUAAUUAAUUAAUAUUGACUGCACCAGCAGCUCAAGGAGAUUCCAGGCCAGGGAUGGAACCCGUGCCACAGCAGUGACAAUGCCAGAUCCUUAACGCGCUGAAGCCACCAGGGAGCUCCAGGAUGUCCUUUUAAAAAUAACUCCUCUGGAGUUGUCUCGUGGCGCAGUGGGUUAAGGAUCCAGCGUUGUCACUGCAGCCACUUGGGUCACUGCUGUGACUUGGGUUUUGGACCGCUGGGCCAGGAAUUUCCAAAAAAAGAAAAAAAGAAAGAACUCAUCUUUGGGUAUUUUUAUAGAUAUAUAUGCCUGGAUCAUUCUUUUCUUUUUUUUUCUGUUACAGACUUUUUUUAGCCCAAAUACAGUGCCUAUUUGAUUUCCACCUUGAAUGCCUCGUGCACAAUGAGCUUUUAUUCAGUUUUGCUAGUAUUAGUUUGUAUUUUCUCCCAUUACGCAUCAACCUUCUUUUGUUUAUUGCCUUUGGUCCUCUGUCCAACUCAGCUCCCAGAGUCAUAGCCUUGAAUUCCCAAGCUGCAGGAGAUUGCUUGUUUAACCAUGAUCAAUCCUCAGGAGAAAAUUGGGUCUUUUUUUUCUCCUAUAACUUCAUUUGUUUAAAUCUUGACUGCUUAUAGUAAAUAUCCUCUCAAAGAUAAUUUCAUUUCUAAAUAAUUUGGUAUCUGAUUUGAUGCAGCUUGAGUGUUUAUUUUGGGGGUAUCGUUUUUCUUUUAUAGUGAGUUUCCCGCAAUAGCUUUGUUUAAAGUUGUUACAUCUUGUGCCUGGCUACCAGCAGGAUUGUGGUUAGCUUUCCUGGAGUACUAUUAGUUUACUAAUAGUAAUUAGCACUCAAGAAACUUCUUUGUUGGCAGUAGCGUUUGGUUUCCACACACACACACACACACACACACAAAACCCACCCAAUUUAAAAAGGUAAUUCUUUGAGUUCCCAUUUUGGUGCUGCGGAAACGAAUCUGACUAGGAACCAUGAGGUUGCGGGUUCGAUCCCUGGCCUCUCUCAGUGGGUUAAGGAUCCAGCGUUGCCAUGAGCUGUGGUGUAGGUCGCAGAUGUAGCUCAGAUCUGGCGUUGCUGUGGCUCUGGUGUAGGCCGGCAGCAACAGCUCUGAUUCGACCCUUAGCCUGGGAACCUCCAUAUG